GGAUCCGAACCUCUAGCUGCAGAGGUGAAUGGCUUGUCAGCACAGUGCCAAUCGCGUUGAGCCACCGCAGCUCCCUUCCUACAGCCAUCUUGCACUUUUAAUGGUCAAAAAAAUAUUGGCCUAUCCGCCAUCUCAGAGCCCCAAUCCAGAAAGUUGUUGGCAGGUUAUAUGCCACACAAAUGGCAAGUCAACUUCUCACUCCAGAUCUUAGCAGUAUCCUGCAGCCAUCUCACACUUUCAGUGGUCAAAAUAUUAGCCUAUCCUCCAUAUCAAAGCCCCAAGCAGGAAAGUUGUUGGCUGGUUAUAUGCCACACAUUU